UUAUCUUUACAUUUUAAUAAUCCAAAUGCCUUGUAUGCUUGCUUAUCCAACUAAUAAUAACCCGAAGACAUGAGACCUUUUCUUUCUUUUCUUAUUUCAGUUAAGGUCUGAUUAUACACACUUAACAAGAAUAUUUAUACUCCAACAGGUUUGUAGGUUUUCGAUCAUCAUCUAAUACUCCAAACCCAGACUCCCCUUCCAUCUCGCAAUCUUUAUGUUAGCAUCAUGAAACAACGAGGCUCAGAUGCUCGUUGGCUGUCAUAAAGAGAAGGCAGAGUCUAUAACAAUGCUCAGAAAACUUCUUCCCCUCAGCUCUAACAUUCACAUCCUCCCUUUCGAUAAUAUUAAAAAGGGGGAAAUGGUGAGGAUAAAGACAUUUUCUCAAAAGAAUGUCUUACGGAGAUCAACAAGUGGAAGCAGAAAGAGCAAGAGCUGUAUAUAUACCAAGAAAGUACAUUGCUUAAAGAAUACAGAGCAAGUGCCAAAGGCUUAGAGAAAAUCAAGAAAGUGCUGCAGCAACUCAACAGGAAUGAAGAAAAGAGUUCUAUUAGAACAGGCUUAGAACAAAAGUCAUUGUAAACUUUUGCUCUCUCUUAUUCA
rnacentral:lncRNA from 1 species